rnacentral:lncRNA from 1 species
AUCAGACUUAUCUUUUUCGUUUUGGGCGGAAUCUGAUUCUUAACUCCUUUGCAAUACUCACAGUCACAGCCAAGGCUAGCAAUUGAAAUCGUCAUCUGCCAAUAAAAGUUUGAUAAAUGCUUUUCAGAGAAUUCCCCUGCGUAUUCAAAUCACAAUCACAGGGUAGACGUACUAAGUACCCACUACUUUUGAAGGUCUGAAAAGAAAUGGUUUUGAUGAAGCUCCUGACACCAAAAUCCAAAACCACAGUCAUUACAAACAGUACUAAGACUACAAAUGCGAUAUUGGUCUGGUCUAAUCGGUCAGAUUCAUUGACCAACUUGGUACAUUAACACUAGCUAAAUCAUUGCGAGGAAGCAUUGCGAGGAAGCAUCCCUUAAACUCGGUGUGUUUUGAAAAGGGAAAUGGACCCAACGCAUAACAAGGUCAAACUAACCCACCUAAGUCUGUGGUUAAUAGUCAAACCUAAAAGCUACUUUGAGGAAUGCUUAUAGUAUUCUAAGAUAUCAGGCAACACCAACAUGGUAUGGGAUCAUAAUGGAAAGCUCCACUUUAACAAUCUAUCAUUUUUCUAUAACAAAGAAGGAGCUGCCGAAAGUGAUAACACAUGUCUAUUGGCCUAUGCAUAUAUGCUAUUGCUAUGGCGUGUCUAUUGGCAUUGAUCUGCAAUUACAUACUCAAAAUCCAAUUAGUAGUAAUUUAAAACCAAGAUAAGAGACAAAACAUUUCCAUCCAAUUUAACGAACAUGGCUAGAUUUCCAAGCAUCUAUGUGACUUAGUGACCGUCUUGAGAAUACCUCAACUAAGAGAAGUUGAAGUCUAAGGAUUUUAAAUUCUAAAUAGUGUUCUCUUAUUUUACAAAAAAAUGCUUGAUAUCUUAUCCCAAUCUUAAACAGAUUCUCCUAAUAUCAAACUCCCCAUCCUGAAACUGAAACAAAUCCGAGGCAUAUAUUGUUCAAAACCAUCUAAAUAAAGUUGGAAUCCGUAACCCUCAGUAAACUACUAAUAACUGAUCAUUAUUAGCAGCAUGCUGAGAUUAUGUUUUCUAUGUCACUGUGAGAUCUUGGGAAUCCUGCAGUUUAAAAGGGAACAAGAUCUCAUAAACAAAAGGAGCUCCAGAUAAAGCUCCAAGAUCCUAGUCACUUGUGAUUGGAUGGGAAAUAGAUAAAGUGCCAGGCAAAAAUAUAUUUUACACUGCCCUAUAGUAAGAAGUGGAAGCUUAAGAGCGAAUAAGGCUUUUCAUAAAAAAGAAGUUUCAUUGGUUAACAACAUAAGAAUGUGACUUACAGGUAAUACAGGUCCACUAUACAUCUGAGAGAUACGAGAUGGUAUCAAAUCAUAUUUUGUCAUAUACCAUACUCCGAGGGGGAAAUUGCAACAAAAUGUAAGAAGCAAGACUAUGUAAGACAGAAGCAUUACUAGGCACAAAGUAAAAUCUGAUUGUAGCUGUGAAAGAGAUGGUUUUAAAUAGUAUCAUAGAGCUUUAUGCAAAGCCCUCGUUUCUGGACUAAAACUAAAAACUUGGAUCAAUAAGAAGAUUCAUAUCUGAACUUUUGGAUUUAAUGGCAUUUAGAGAUUCAGAUAAUUCAGAACCAUGCAAAUAAAAAAUGGAAAAAGUAUGUCGGCAUACCAUUGUAGAGGAUAAAGGUGGACACAAAAGGUUGCGCCAACACAUCCAAACACCGCAAGAAGUUCUCUACAUAAUUAAGAAAAAGGAAUGAUUAGUAGGAAAGAUUGAUAAAAUAUCCUACUGACAAAAAAGUUCACAAAAUGACCAUCAAUGAGAAAUGGAAUUUAAAGGUAAUGAAUAGGUCCCACGAAAG